UACAGGGGGGGCAAGCGUUGUUCGGAAUUACUGGGCGUAAAGGGCUCGUAGGUGGCCAACUAAGUCAGACGUGAAAUCCCUCAGCUUAACUGGGGAACUGCGUCUGAUACUGGAUGGCUUGAGUUUGGGAGAGGGAUGCGGAAUUCCUGGUGUAGCGGUGAAAUGCGCAGAUAUCAGGAGGAACACCGGUGGCGAAGGCGGUUCUCUGGGCCUUACCUGACGCUGAGGAGCGAAAGCGUGGGGAGCGAACAGG
rnacentral:rRNA from 1 species